UACGUAGGGGGCGAGCGUUGUCCGGAGUUACUGGGCGUAAAGCGCACGCAGGCGGUCUGCUAAGUUUGGGGUGACAGUUGUCGGCUUAACCGAGAAAGUGCCUCAAAGACUGACAGACUUGAGGGCCACAGAGGGACAUGGAACUCCAGGUGUAGUGGUGAAAUGCGUAGAUAUCUGGAAGAACACCAAAGGCGAAGGCAGUGUCCUGGGUGGUACCUGACGCUCAGGUGCGAAAGCCAGGGGAGCGAACGGG
rnacentral:rRNA from 1 species